GGAGAGGUCGCAUAGUCUGGUCUAGUGCGCUCGACUCGAAAUCGAGUGAGCCUAAAGCUCCGUGGGUUCGAAUCCCACCCUCUCCG
rnacentral:tRNA from 1 species